rnacentral:rRNA from 1 species
CAUGGGUUUAAUUGAAGCAACGAGAAGACCUUCCCAGGUCGACCUUCUCUACUUAGAGAUGAAGUCCUYSGGGGACAGAGUGACAGGUGGUGCAUGGUUGUCGUCAGCUCGUGUCGUGAGAUGUUGGGUUAAGUCCCGCAACGAGCGCAACCCUUGAUCUUAGUUGCCAGCAUUYAGUUGGGCACUCUAAGGUGACUGCCGGUGACAAACCGGAGGAAGGUGGGGAUGACGUCAAAUCAUCAUGCCCCUUAUGACCUGGGCUACACACGUGCUACAAUGGAUGRUACAAAGGGCUGCAAMCYGCGAGUAAGCAAUCCCAUAAACAUUCUCAGUUCGGAUGAGGCUGCAACUCGCUCAUGAAGCCGGAAUCGCU